AAACCGCACGCCAAGGUAAAUAAAGCGCACGCCGCAGUAGAUCCCGAAUAUCUUCGUGGAAAAUGUUGUCAGAGGAAAGGAGGCGCUUGUGGUUAGCGAAGCUGAACCAGGAUCUACGUGGCAAAAAUCUGGACAACGUCCGAAUUUGUUCGGCCCAUUUCUUGUCAGGUAAAAGGUCUGACCUUUAUCAAAAGGAUGACCCAGAUUGGGUACCAUCUGUCGGAAUGACAGAUGCCGCGUCCAUCCAAAGCGUCGAAGGCAGCCAAGCAGCGCUAUGCUGCAAGACUGCAGCUUAAAAAAGAUGCCGAGGUCGCGCUACCGACCAUUCAGACACAUCGAGUGCCUCCAAC
ensembl:lncRNA